rnacentral:lncRNA from 1 species
AUGGCAGCCGGAAAAGAGAGGCCGGAGGCCAGGCAGGGAGAAGAGAUCUACAAGGCUUACAGGAUGAGGCAGUGGGAAGGAGAUCUCCUGGACCAGCUGCCAUUGACCUGCGUCCUGGAAGGAGGAGGGAGAGCCAGCUUCGCCAGGGAAAGGCAUCGGAGGCAGAGCGACCAGCAGGUGCACAGGCUGUGCAGAACAAGGAACAGACGCGGGGCUUUGUUGCCCCUGAGCUCACUUCCGUCACCAGCUGAGAUGAAGGAGGAAGGCCCUGAAGCCAGGAUUAUGGUUCACCCCUCGGCACAUCCCACCGGGAGCCCAGUGGAGCCUGGCCCACAGCAGGUGCUCAGUGCGGUCUGUUCUUCUCGGACCACAGAGAAGCAGACCGGGAUUCUGAGAGUGUCACGCUACUCAUUCGGGAGGAGACCAUCAUCCAAAGCCGCAUCUGUCUGCACAGCCCGGGCUUUGAAGCACCUGGUGGUUUAGUGGCCUGGGAGCAGAUCAUUUCUCCCCCUCGCUUGAUCCGACAGCAAACCUUCUCCAUCCUGACUGUGCUGUCGAAUUUCCCAAUCCGCCCCCCCCCCAGCUGUCAAAAUGCGCAUACCCACACCCCUGGUCCCCGUGGGCCCUGUGAUUCUGCACCUUUACUCGGUUCCCAGGGGGUGCUGAUGUCGCCCGGUAUGUGGACUCCGAAGUUAGAAUUAACUUUCCUCCUCUUCCACUAAAGGAGACCACACACGAGACAAACACAACAGAAGGAAGGGACCCGGGGCCCAGAUCUAACAGGGAGGGCUGGGAGAGGGCGAGCUGGAAGCCACAUUCCUGUGGGGGCGUGGGGGGGGGUGCCAUCCAGGAAUUGUAUUCUGACGUUCCCACAGAAUGCUAACUUUCAAGAGAGGCGGAAACCCUGCUUUUAUGUGACGGCUCUCAGUGUGUAUGGGCAGCUAAUUCAAUUUGUUUUUCAACUGUUAGACCAAAGAAAAACCCAU